AUCCAGCUGACGAGUCCUAAAGGCAACGAAACGCGCGUCCUGAAU
rfam:Schistosoma rodhaini strain Burundi genome assembly, scaffold: SROB_scaffold0004907